AACGAACGCUGGCGGCAUGCCUAACACAUGCAAGUCGAACGAGACCUUCGGGUCUAGUGGCGCACGGGUGCGUAACGCGUGGGAACCUGCCCUUAGGUUCGGAAUAACUCCCCGAAAGGGGUGCUAAUACCGGAUAAUGUCUUCGGACCAAAGAUUUAUCGCCUUUGGAUGGGCCCGCGUUGGAUUAGCUAGUUGGUAGGGUAAAAGCCUACCAAGGCGACGAUCCUUAGCUGGUCUGAGAGGAUGAUCAGCCACACUGGGACUGAGACACGGCUCAGACUGCUGGGGGAGGCAGCAGUGGGGAAUAUUGGACAGGGGGCGAGAGCCUGAUCCAGCAAUGCCGCGUGAGUGAUGAAGGGCUUAGGGUUGUAAAGCUCUUUUACCCGAGAUGAUAAUGACAGUACCGGGAGAAUAAGCUCCGGCUAACUCCGU
rnacentral:rRNA from 1 species